GUCUACGGCCAUACUACCCUGAACAAGCCUGAUCUCGUCUGAUCUUGGAAGCUAAGCAGGGUCGGGCCUGGUUAGUACUUGGAUGGAAGACCACCUAGGAAGACAAGGUGCUGUGUGCG
rnacentral:rRNA from 1 species